UAAAAAAUAUUAACCAUGAAUUAACUAGAGAACUUUAUGAAAUGCACAGCUGAUUUUCUACUUUGGUCAAUAGAUGCCACUAUUUAACACAAAUAGAACCUUAAAUUAUUGGGUUGUUCGGAAACUCAUUUCGUUUAUCCUGACAGAGGAUUUAAUUGUUUUUUUUUGCACCCAACCUCACACUUAAGCCGUAUAAUGUUUAUAUGCAUUGAGAGCUCAUAUAGCAAGGCUUGUGUGUGAAAAAUUCCAAUUAAUUCUACGCAGUAGUUUUUGGUUGGUGCCCUUUUAAAUAUGGAGAGCGAUAAGCAGCACUUUCGACAUAUCUUACUGUUUUACUACAGAAAGGGUAAAAAUGCUGUUCAAGCCAGAAAGAAGUUGACCGAUGUGUAUGGAGAAGAUGUGUUGACAGUACGCCAGUGCCAGAACUGGUUCGCUAAAUUUCGAUCCGGCAAGUUUGAUAUCGAAGAUGCACCACGUUCGGGAAGGCCGGUUGAAGCUGAUAAAGACGCGAUAAAGGCAUUAGUUGAUGCAAACCGGCGAAUAACAACUCGCGAGAUCGGACUGAGGUUAAAUUUAUCAAAUUCAACAGUUCAUGACCACUUGAAAAGCCUGGGAUUUUCCUCGAAGCUCUCACAGAGAAAAAAAAAACGAAAUUACUUUCCAAACAACCCAAUGGUAAAUCUUUAAAUCCAAAACUAGUUACUAUGUUGGGGACACCAAAUUUGUGACAGUUUUAACAAAUAUAUUUAUCCAGUUAACUAAUUAUUUUAGUUUUUGUUUUCAGUGAGAUAAAAAAUCCAUUUCCAUUUAGUGAAAAGUUGUAUCCUGUCUGUUAGUCGAAUGAUUAUAUUAUCUAGCACUGCCACACAUUGAUAUGACUAUGAUGUUUUCAAACCAUUGUGAUUGAUACAAUAAUUAAUGUUUUUUAAUACCAUCUUAUUUUGUUGUAAGUAAUUAUGUUGUUUAUAUGAUGCCUGGUUUCCUGUUCUAUUUAACAUUUGGGAUUCUCUGUUCUAAUUUGCCUAUUUUCUUGGUAUUGUUGUUAUUAUUUGGAGAACAGGGGUGACAGGCAUCAACAUUGAUGUUGUUUAGUUCAUGAUCUUUUAACAUUAUAUUUUCCUUGUCCGUACAAAGAUAAUAGAUUAUUUUGGAUAACUGUGUUUGAUAAUGCCACACAAGUAUCUGCUUGAAGGUAUGCUUUCAGUUUGAAAGAAAACAACCUGUCACACCUGUAAUAACAAUAACAAAAUUAAUAACAACAAUAAUAAUAAGCAAAAUAUGAAAGAGAAUCGCAAUUUUUAAAGAGAACACGGAUUUAUACAAGAAGAAAAUGAAAUAUGAAAUUUGCUUAUGUUAAAUAACAUACUAAUUAUUAAAAAAAUAGUGUUACUCAUGUUUAUACUCCAGAAGUGGCUAAUUUGCGACUCUUUGAAGGAUUAUUUGUGGCUUUCAAUAAAUGUAUGUACCUGACUUCCCUUUUAAUUCCAGAAUUAUCCAAAGAACCAAAAUAAAUGUGUAUAAUUUUUAAUAUUUAAAUUCAAUACACAUAUUUUGUACUUUUAUUUAUGUUUUAAAUAAAUAUAAUUUCUGUAAACUAA